AUCGUUUCUUGGCCUUUUGGUCAGGAUCAAGUGUAGUAUCUGUUCUUAUCAGUAUAAUAGUAUGUAUUUUCUAUGAACUUUUGUGGCGACCCCUCAUAUUAAUCUUCAUAACAACCUUAU
ensembl:snRNA U2 U2 spliceosomal RNA